rnacentral:rRNA from 1 species
UACGUAGGGGGCAAGCGUUGUCCGGAUUUAUUGGGCGUAAAGAGCGUGUAGGCGGCCAGACAGGUCCGUUGUGAAAACUCGAGGCUCAACCUCGAGACGCCGAUGGAAACCGUUUGGCUAGAGUCCGGAAGAGGAGAGUGGAAUUCCCGGUGUAGCGGUGAAAUGCGCAGAUAUCGGGAAGAACACCCGUGGCUAAGGCGGCUCUCUAGUACGGUACUGACGCUGAGACGCGAAAGCGUGGGGAGCGAACAGG